UACGUAGGGUGCAAGCGUUGUCCGGAAUUAUUGGGCGUAAAGAGCCCGUAGGCGGUUUGUCGCGUCUGCUGUGAAAACUCGGGGCUUAACUCCGGGCCUGCAGUGGGUACGGGCAGACUAGAGUGCGGUAGGGGAGACUGGAAUUCCUGGUGUAGCGGUGAAAUGCGCAGAUAUCAGGAAGAACACCCGUGGCUAAGGCGGUUCUCUGGGACGGUACUGACGCUGAGACGCGAAAGCGUGGGGAGCGAACAGG
rnacentral:rRNA from 1 species